GACGAACGCUGGCGGCGUGCUUAACACAUGCAAGUCGAACGGUAAGGCCCUUCGGGGUACACGAGUGGCGAACGGGGGAGUAACACGUGGGUGAUCUGCCCUUCACCUCGGGAUAAGCCUGGGAAACUGGGUCUAAUACCGGAUAGGACCACUGCCUGCAUGGGUGGGGGUGGAAAGCGUUUGCGGUGUGGGAUGGGCCCGCGGCCUAUCAGCUUGUUGGUGGGGUGAUGGUCUACCAAGGCGACGACGGGUAGCCGGCCUGAGAGGGUGACCGGCCACACUGGGACUGAGAUACGGCCCAGACUCCUACGGGAGGCAGCAGUGGGGAAUAUAGCACAAUGGGCGCAAGCCUGAUGCAGCGACGCCGCGUGAGGGAUGACGGCCUUCGGGUUGUAAACCUCUUUCAGCACCGACGAAGCGCAAGUGACGGUAGGUGCAGAAGAAGGACCGGCCAACUACGUGCCAGCAGCCGCGGUAA
rnacentral:rRNA from 1 species